GACGAACGCUGGCGGCGUGCUUAACACAUGCAAGUCGAACGGAAAGGCCCUGCUUGCAGGGUACUCGAGUGGCGAACGGGUGAGUAACACGUGGGUGAUCUGCCCUGCACUUCGGGAUAAGCCUGGGAAACUGGGUCUAAUACCGGAUAUGACCUUCCAUGUUGUGUGGGGGGUGGAAAGAUUUAUCGGUGUGGGAUGAGCCCGCGGCCUAUCAGCUUGUUGGUGGGGUAAUGGCCUACCAAGGCGUCGACGGGUAGCCGGCCUGAGAGGGUGGACGGCCACAUUGGGACUGAGAUACGGCCCAGACUCCUACGGGAGGCAGCAGUGGGGAAUAUUGCACAAUGGGCGGAAGCCUGAUGCAGCGACGCCGCGUGGGGGAUGACGGCCUUCGGGUUGUAAACCUCUUUCGACAGGGACGAAGCUUCGGUGACGGUACCUGUAUAAGAAGCACCGGCUAACUACGUG
rnacentral:rRNA from 1 species